AAGGCCUUAGUUUAGUAAAAAUGUCUGAUUUGCAAUCAGGAGAUGCAAGUUGAUUCCUUGUAGGUCUUA
rnacentral:tRNA from 2 species